rnacentral:rRNA from 1 species
AUAUCAAUAAGCGGAGGAAAAGAAACUAACAAGGAUUCCCUCAGUAACGGCGAGUGAAGCGGGAAGAGCUCAAAUUUUAAAUCUCACUGGUUUCCAGUGCGAAUUGUAGUUUAAAGCAGUAUUUUCGGAGACAAACCAGGCUCAAGUCCGUUGGGAUACGGCAUCACAGAGGGUGAGAAUCCCGUUGUGGCCUGGCUUUGGCUCUAUGUGAUAUACUUGCAAAGAGUCGGAUUGUUUGGGAAUGCAGUCCAAAAUGGGUGGUAAAUACCAUCUAAAGCUAAAUAUUGGCGAGAGACCGAUAGCGAACAAGUACCGUGAGG